rnacentral:antisense_RNA from 1 species
GCGAACUUGCAGACGUUGCGGCCGCGCGCCGUACAGUUGAAGAGGUAGCAGCCGAGCACGGCUGCCGGGGGCGCGGGGCGCCGGGGCAGCUCCACCACGGCCACGGAGCAGCGCGGCUCGGAGCAGCAGGCCGCCACGCAUUGCCGCCAGCCCCGCACGGCCGCCGGCGCCCGCAGGAAGCUGGCACCCGCCGCCAGGGAGUCCUUGGUGCGGAUGAUGGCGUCAGGCAUUGCGCUGUAGCCGCCGCCGCCCGGGCCCGGGCAGUCCUCCUGGGGGCCGCCGCCCGCGCGCAGCUCCAGCUCCAGCUCCUCCUGAGGCCGCUCCUGCUGCAGCUGCCGGCGGAACUCCUCCAGCAGCUGCUCCACGCCAGACAGCUGCGCGUGCAGUUCGGACAGCGGCGCUGCGGGCUGCAAGGCCGCACGGCCGCUCGGCAGCCACAGGCAGAGCAGUAGCAGCCCGCGCAGCGCCCCGUGACGCGGAGGUCGCCGGCGCCGCGAGCCCGCGCUCUCCCGGGCGACGGAGGCCAUGGCGGCGGGAGCCAAGGGCAGCGAGCCGAGGCGGGGCCGAGCGCGGGAGGAAGGCGGGGACGCGGGCGCGGGCGAGCGCGGGCCCUGGGCCCCUACUGCGCGGCCGCGGCUGGCUCUAGGCCCCGGCCUCACAGCGCGGCGCCCCCGGAACCCGGCUGCUCCCUCGAGGUCGCGGGCGCGCGGGCGCCGGCGGGAACCGCAGUAGCGGGAGACAUAGUCGGCCCAGCCGGGCACCGCUCCUUGCCCUCGUCGGAGACUGCCCGGCGCCCCGCGCCUCUCCGCCCCGGCCUGCGGCGCGCUGGGUGGCGGCCGGUCGGCCUCGGUGCUGAUCAGCACCAGGUGUGUGCGAACAGUGGCCGCGGCGGGGUGGAGCCUUGGAUGAACCGUUGUCCACAUUCUGUUCUCUGAGUCAAAGAGGAGGAAGACCUGUCCAUCGAAACUGAACUGCCAAGAUCCACCGCUGUGUCCUUUGGCUUUCUGCUCACAAGACAUCCUGGCCUGCAGGGUGGGGGGUUCUGCCCCCAUCAUAGAGAGAUGAGCUCUGGUCUUGACAGAUAUUGAGCCCCCAUCCUGUUCCCCCUACAAUUUCCUGGUCUUACUCACUGUGCCACAUCCUGGCCUUGCCUCUAGACCACCUGUGGGGUGAGAUGACCUUCCUAUUUGUAUUUUUACAUGAAAACUAUAAAUGCCUCUAACCU